rnacentral:lncRNA from 1 species
UCAUCAUCAGUCAUAUGUUAAUGGACUCUCGGGCACUCACUGUUGUGUUUGGCACUUUGCUUGGUACAGUAUAAUACUUGUGUCGUUUUAUUAGGCAGUGCCUGUGGGCAAAGAACUUAAGUCUCUGCACCUCAGUUUCCUCAUCCGAUAGAUGGGAUUGAAGAUGCCUUUCCAGCCUGUCUCACGGGGCUGUCCGAUGGAAAUUCGUAGACAAAAAAGCAUGAGAGGGCUUUGAGUCCCACUGAAAUGUAACACCGUUUUACUAUAUGUUAUUUUAGUUCCAUCUGAAAUAGAAUAUUCUUACUGAAAGAUGUUUUUUGAUUUAUUGGCCAAGAUAUGGAAAUGCAUCCCAACAUGGCCAACAUAGCUGCUAGGAACCGGGAAAGGCCCUAGCCAUUCUAAUUAGGUGGGGAAGGGGGGACCUUGCGGUUGUAUCCUCCCUUUACUGUGUGAUUGACGUUAGAAGACUGUGCGUGACAACCGGGAAGAUUCUGGAAUGUGACUGCCAAGUGUUGGGCCGUGAGUCUGCGGGCUGCAGACAGGUAGGGUGGCCAACACACCAGGCCUUGUCUGUCUCUGGAGCCGAGUGGGACAAGCCCGGGGCAGGAUGGCUCUGCCUUCCCUUGGGCAAGCAGGGAAGGCAGAGCGCCCUUGAGGCAUCGCUCUAGGCUACUGGGAAGGGGCAGCAAGCAUGCAGCGGGCGGGAAAUUGGGGCUUAUUGUAAGCAAGGUGCCUGGCCUCCAGGGCGACAGGAGCACAGAACAGCACAUUGAAGCCCCUGUGGAUGGGCUGCGGGACGGACCACACAUGUGGAUGGCGAGGACAGCUACUUAGAGAGGUUCACAUUCCUCCCCAUUGAACUGGGUAUGGUUGUAAUGGUUUGUUAAACAAACAAAGGACCUAAUGCUGUGAAUGGGGGAAGAGAAAAGACUUAAGGUGAAAAGGAGAGGAGGCCCUGCCGCUCACGCGCACACCUGCCUUCCAGCCAAACUGAACCACACUGUCCACGCUGCCCUGUGCUGCUUUUCCACGGUCUUCCCUCUGCCUGAACUAGACCUCCCUCUUUCUCACCCGCUUCACUCCUAAACUCGGCCUAUGUGGUCAUUAGAAAAAUGUAGCAAGUACAGAUAUCUGAAGAGGAAAAACAAAAGUCAUCUCUAAUCCAGCCCCCCUUCCCCCCCCAGCAAUCCUCUGCCAACAGGUUGUUACUGAAACUUUUACUCCUUUUCCUGUUUAUUUGGACAGAUUAUUGUUUUAGAAAAAAAAGUCUGCCCAAGUCUUGAGCAUCCUUUCUCAGUCUCACGUAGCCUUUAGUGUCCGUCCCAUCAAGAGGUUUUAGCUCAGGAAUCUGGCUUCCGUCAUCCCUGUGACUAGCCAGCUUUUCUUAUUUCUUUUCUCAGGGUGAGCCGUUACCCUCACACACUUCCUGGGAAGGAAUCGGCCUUUUCUUUUCCCUAGAAUGGUAACCGUAUUAGGACAAUAGGCCCUGUCGAUAAUUAGGUAAGUUUUGGUCCCUCUGUGCCCUGCUCUUAGAGUCCCAGGAAAAGAGAUCACCCCUGCCCACUAUAGAAACACAUCCUAAAGGGCGUAAAGGCGAGUAGCUGAGGAUUUGUUGGGAGGGAGGAGGGGGAUAUAUUUCCAGCUGUCACAAAGGAGUAGGCCCUGCCGCUGACUUUAAUGACUAGAAAAUCUUCUCCUAAUACCAGGGGCUCUUGUCUGGAUUUCAGGUCCGCGCUUCCCCCCUCCCCCCACCAUGCUACCUAGAGUCCACUAACAGUCUUCUUGAAACGUUUCAUCCCAUCUCAGCUUGAGAACCAGUCCCCGGUCUCACCCUUGCCUCUCUGGAUGCACAAAGGGCAUUCUGCUUGCCUGUAGAUUUUUGUCGGUUUCUUCCUCAGUGUUAAUAUUUAAAAACAGAAGGUAUGUGCUGGGGACGGGAGGCAUGUGGAGGGCCUGUAAAGAUGUGUCCUUCCCUCUGCCCGAUGGAUGGGAUCCCGUAGAGGUGCUUGGGGCCCAUCCGGGGAGUCCCAAGCCAUGGAAGCUUCCUGCUUCCACCCCUUACAGGUUCCAGUUUCAGAUGACGCCUCGGAGGUGAUGGAGCCUGGCUCCUGGUCAGUGGUCCUCUUUUGCUCUUGGAAGUUUGGUUUCUCUCAGGUUUCUGUGGCUCAUUCAGGCUCAUAUUCCUGGGCUUCUGCCUCUUCCAUUGCUGCUUAGGGCUUCCUCCCAUCCCACUCAAGACAGAGUUUUAUGGACUUUCUCUAUCUGCUUUUCCUCUUCUCUCCCCACCUCCCUGUGGGCCUGGAGUGGCUGUCUAAUCUUGACAAAAUCAGUUACUUAUUACCUUCAAUCUGCUAAACACAUUAUAACAACAAAAGGCUCCCAUCUUAAACAAACAAACAAAGCCCACUCUCUUUCAGUGGAGUAGGCAACCCAACAGGAUUUUUGAGCUCUUAGGGUCUUGUUUUGUACUCUCACCAUCUAUAAAUUAUUUUGGACAUCUUAUGAAGUUUUUUCUUUAGUGCAAACUUAAUUCUUAUUUUGCUUAUGUUUAUCACCAUAGGUUUGUCUCUACACUGUCUUCCCUAAGGGGAACCAAGGAAAUUUAGAAUCGGAUGGCUUCUUCUGUCCUUGAAGCCUCUGAGACUUGCAUGUCCCCACAAGCCCUCUUCCAUCUGGCUGCACAAAGCAGAGUAGGUAUCUGGAGGAAGGACCAGCCUAGCUGCAGCCUAGGCUAGGCUGCAAAGAAAACAGGUCUCUUCUCACCCCUAGGACUGCCCCCCAGCCAUUCCAGACCACUCUGGGGAGGCAGACACUGGUGAUUAAGGCCACCCACAUAGAGCCCAGAGUAAUUCAUAAAGUCACUUAGAAGGAGUUUCUGCUGUGGCGCUGCGGAAAUGAAUCUGACUAGUUUCCAUGAAGAUGUGGGUUCAACCCCUGGCCUUGCUCACUGGGGAUCCAGCUUUGCCGUGAGCUGUGGUGUAGGUCACAGAUGUGGCUGGGAUCCCAGGUUACUGUGGCUGCUCCGAUUUGAGCCCUAGCCUGGGAACUUCCAUAUGCCACAGCUUCGGCCC